rnacentral:rRNA from 1 species
UACGUAGGUGGCAAGCGUUGUCCGGAAUUAUUGGGCGUAAAGCGCGCGCAGGCGGUUCUUUAAGUCUGAUGUGAAAGCCCACGGCUCAACCGUGGAGGGUCAUUGGAAACUGGAGAACUUGAGUACAGAAGAGGAAAGCGGAAUUCCACGUGUAGCGGUGAAAUGCGUAGAUAUCGGGAGGAACACCAGUGGCGAAGGCGGCCGGCUGGGGGCGCCCUGACGCUGAGGCGCGAGAGCGUGGGGAGCAAACCGG